rnacentral:rRNA from 1 species
GAGCACGUAGGUGGGUUUGUAAGUCAGAUGUGAAAGCCUUCUGUUCAACGGAAGAAUUGCAUCUGAAACUGCGAGUCUUGAGUGUAGGAGGGGAGAAUGGAACUUCUGGUGGAGCGGUGAAAUGCGUAGAUAUCAGAAGGAACGCCGGCGGCGAAGGCGAUUCUCUGGCCUAUUACUGACACUCAGUGUGCGAAAGCCAGGGGAGCAAACGGGAUUAGAUACCCCGGUAGUCCUAGCCGUAAACGAUGGGCACUAAGUAGAGGGG